rnacentral:tRNA from 1 species
GUCGGGAUANCUCAGCUGGUAGAGCAGAGGACUGAAAAUC